UGCGAUAUGCUCGUCUUAAAGAUUAAGCCAUGCAUGCCUAAGUACAUACUUCGGUAGAGUGAAACUGCGGAUAGCUCAUUAAAUCGCCUCUAUUUUGUUUGAUAGUCCUCCACUGGAUAUCCGUGGAAAAUCUAGAGCCAAUACUUGCACUGAUAUCUAACAAGCAUAUGCUUCUUGUUAGAUGCAUUUAUUGGAUAUCCGAUCGCUCACAUUGCGAGCGUUAGGUGAUUCUAAAUGACUUUGCUGAUCGUAUGGCCUUGUGCCGACGACAGAUCAAACAAGAUCGCGCCCUAUCAAUUUGUUGUUAGGAUAUUUUCCUAACAAGGUUGUAACGGGUGACGGGGAAUCAGGGUUUGAUUCCGGAGAGGGAGCAUGAGAUAUAGCUACCACAUCUAAGGAAGGCAGCAGGCGCGCAAAUUACCCACUCCCGACACGGGGAGGUAGUGACGAGAAAUAUCGGCUCCUAUUCAAUUGAGUAGGAGACCGAAAUGGACGAAAUUCAGGUCCAUUCGUGAGUAACAAGCAGAGGGCAAGUCUGGUGCCAGCAGCCGCGGUAAUUCCAGCUCUGCACGCAUAUGCGAGAUUUGUUGCAUUUAAAAAGCUCGUAGUCGGACGGUUCCACAAUUUUGUCGAUUGGACACUGCAUGUGCUGCAUAAUUUUGUCUACCUAACUAAGGAGGCAACAAAAUUUUUGUUAGUUCACUACAGUGCUCUUAAUAUUGACUAGUUGUGGACAAACGCAAGCUCCUGAUCUGCCCUUAAUUGGGUGUAUCAGCUGUAAGUUUGCGGACGUACCUUGAACAAAUCGGCUUGUUCAAAGUAGGCCUAGUGCCUGGACAUUCUAGCAUGGAAUGUUCGAUCGAGACCUGAUCGUUUGGUCGGAAACGAGUAAGGUCCAGGUCAAAAGAGACAUUUGGGGGCAUAAGAACUCGGCCGCGAGAGGUGAAAUUCUAAGACCGGCCGAGGUCUAACAAAAGCGAAAGCAUUUGCCAAGAAUGUUUUCAUUGAUCAAGAACGAAAGUUGGAGGAGCGAAAACGAUCAGAUACCGUUGUAGUUCCAACUUUAAACUAUGCCGGCUGUCGGGGCCAGUUCGGUACAUCCGUACUAAUUGACCUCCCAGGGAAACCUUAGCAGGGUUCUGGGGGGAGUACGGUCGCAAGUCUGAAACUUAAAGGAAUUGACGGAAGGGCACCACCAGGAGUGGAGCCUGCGGCUUAAUUUGACUCAACGCGGGGAAACUUACCCGGUCCGGACAUCGGAAGGAUUGACAGACUGAUCGCUCUUUCAUGAUACGGUGAAAGGUGGUGCAUGGCCGUUCAUAGUUGGUGGAGCGAUUUGUCUGGUUAAUUCCGUUAACGAACGAGACUUCUUCCUUCAUUUAGUAGAUUUAAUUGGGGUUUAGAUCAACUAAUUGAAGGGACUAACGCUAUUUAAAAGCGUAGGAAGUAAUCCGAUAACAGGUCUGUUAUGCCCUUAGAUGUCCGGGGCCGCACGCGGGCUACACUGGUGGUAGCAAAGAGUACUUAGGGAGACAUCCUCGAGUAAACUCACGAACUACCAUCGUGACAGGGACUGAACCUUGUAAUUAUGGUUCACGAACGAGGAAUUUCUAGUAAGCGCUGGUCACCAUCCAGCGCUGAUUAUGUCUCUGCCCUUUGUACACACCGCCCGUCGCUACUACCGAUUGAAUGACUUAGCGAGAACUUGGUGGUAGCUUUUAAAUUCCCAAAAGAGUUUAUUAGCUACAAACUUGUUUGAGCUUGGUCGUUUAGAGGAAGUAAAAGUCGUAACAAGGUUUCC
rnacentral:rRNA from 1 species